AGACAGAAGCAGAGCAACAGUGAGGUGAGUGAGAUGGUUUAGUUCAUCAAUAAUUUUACAAAUCUUUACCAAGCUUUGAACAAAGGAGGUUAUGUGGUCAUGUUAAUGAUGUUUUGUAUUGUGUUUUUUCCUAGGGGGAAACAGAACAUCUGAGCCCUGAACUUAAAAAAUUCCACCGUGCCAUAAAGCCCUUUUUCAGCAGAAAGAGCAAGGCCUCGAAUUUAAGAACGAUAUGUUUUGGCACCUCAAUUGACAUAUACAUGGCCAAAUACAGCGAAUUUGUGGCUUGACCAGAGGGGACGAGCAGGAUGAAGCAGAACGCAAUCUCGAAGACCACACGAACGAAAGUAUUCAUAAAAUAUAUGAUGCUCGGGUGGUCUUCGGUGAAGUACUGGACAUGGGAGUUUUUAGACAACGUCCUUCUUGUCAAAUCCUACCCUGCUCUCCUCAGAGCAUUUGGCCUGGCACCAACUACUAUCAUUUUGAAUGUGGGCCAGGCCAUUUCAUUUAUGGAGUACCUCAGGGACAUCCCACCAAAAUAUUCCAGGGUGUCCCUGCGAAAAAUCACAAUUGUCUUCAAGGAGUUGAAGAAACUCUACAGGGACAUUGGCUGCACGGUGCUGGGCCACCAGUUCCUUGUCAAACAAAACAAGGA